AAAUUGAAGAGUUUGAUCAUGGCUCAGAUUGAACGCUGGCGGCAGGCCUAACACAUGCAAGUCGAACGGUAACAGGAAGCAGCUUGCUGCUUUGCUGACGAGUGGCGGACGGGUGAGUAAUGUCUGGGAAACUGCCUGAUGGAGGGGGAUAACUACUGGAAACGGUGGCUAAUACCGCAUAACGUCGCAAGACCAAAGAGGGGGACCUUCGGGCCUCUUGCCAUCAGAUGUGCCCAGAUGGGAUUAGCUUGUUGGUGAGGUAACGGCUCACCAAGGCGACGAUCCCUAGCUGGUCUGAGAGGAUGACCAGCCACACUGGAACUGAGACACGGUCCAGACUCCUACGGGAGGCAGCAGUGGGGAAUAUUGCACAAUGGGCGCAAGCCUGAUGCAGCCAUGCCGCGUGUAUGAAGAAGGCCUUCGGGUUGUAAAGUACUUUCAGCGGGGAGGAAGGUGUUGUGGUUAAUAACCGCAGCAAUUGACGUUACCCGCAGAAGAAGCACCGGCUAACUCCGUGCCAGCAGCCGCGGUAAUACGGAGGGUGCAAGCGUUAAUCGGAAUUACUGGGCGUAAAGCGCACGCAGGCGGUCUGUCAAGUCGGAUGUGAAAUCCCCGGGCUCAACCUGGGAACUGCAUUCGAAACUGGCAGGCUUGAGUCUUGUAGAGGGGGGUAGAAUUCCAGGUGUAGCGGUGAAAUGCGUAGAGAUCUGGAGGAAUACCGGUGGCGAAGGCGGCCCCCUGGACAAAGACUGACGCUCAGGUGCGAAAGCGUGGGGAGCAAACAGGAUUAGAUACCCUGGUAGUCCACGCCGUAAACGAUGUCUACUUGGAGGUUGUGCCCUUGAGGCGUGGCUUCCGGAGCUAACGCGUUAAGUAGACCGCCUGGGGAGUACGGCCGCAAGGUUAAAACUCAAAUGAAUUGACGGGGGCCCGCACAAGCGGUGGAGCAUGUGGUUUAAUUCGAUGCAACGCGAAGAACCUUACCUGGUCUUGACAUCCACAGAAGAAUCCAGAGAUGGAUUUGUGCCUUCGGGAACUGUGAGACAGGUGCUGCAUGGCUGUCGUCAGCUCGUGUUGUGAAAUGUUGGGUUAAGUCCCGCAACGAGCGCAACCCUUAUCCUUUGUUGCCAGCGGUCCGGCCGGGAACUCAAAGGAGACUGCCAGUGAUAAACUGGAGGAAGGUGGGGAUGACGUCAAGUCAUCAUGGCCCUUACGACCAGGGCUACACACGUGCUACAAUGGCGCAUACAAAGAGAAGCGACCUCGCGAGAGCAAGCGGACCUCAUAAAGUGCGUCGUAGUCCGGAUUGGAGUCUGCAACUCGACUCCAUGAAGUCGGAAUCGCUAGUAAUCGUGGAUCAGAAUGCCACGGUGAAUACGUUCCCGGGCCUUGUACACACCGCCCGUCACACCAUGGGAGUGGGUUGCAAAAGAAGUAGGUAGCUUAACCUUCGGGAGGGCGCUUACCACUUUGUGAUUCAUGACUGGGGUGAAGUCGUAACAAGGUAACCGUAGGGGAACCUGCGGUUGGAUCACCUCCUUACCUGAAAGAAGC
rnacentral:rRNA from 1 species